GUCUCUUGUUCCAGACGUCAAACAACAAAUAAUGAACGUGAAAUACUCAGACGGCAUUGCAUUACAGCCAUGCUGGAACACCAUUUUCAAGAGUCUUCUGUAAGUCGAUGAUAUCGACCGCAGUAAUUUUUUAAUGGAUCUCUAAGAUGCAUUUGUCAUGCAAGUCAAAACAUUGCUUUAGAACAGUAAACAUAAAAAUAGGCCCGUAGAAACAGCCAUAUUUUUACACACACGCGUGCAUCCCCACCACACAAAUAUAUUUAUUAUAUGUUGGACGAUUGCGAACUUUCGGAUUUACAACUUUGAUUCAUAAACCAUUGGUCAACUUGAAACAAUAGUAGAACAGAAUUUCUCAAGCUGACAAGCAGUACGAUGCAGUCCAGGAGUGCGUAGUUACGAAGCAUAUCUCUAUAACAACACAUAAUCAGAGAGUACAGAUAUAAUAUUGGUUGUUUCAAGUAUUGGUAUAAGGCCAGCAGGAUUGCAGGAGGGGUACAUCGGCUCCCAAGUGUUCAACUGGUAUUUAUAUUAUCGACUCUGAAAGGAUGGAAGACAAGGUCGGCCUCAGCGGAAUUUGAACGAAGAACGUAAAUACAAAGGAUGUGCCGCCGCUUGAGAAACGGUGUGGGAGUGCUUACGUUCGCGUGACUCAACGGCAAAUGUGCCCGAUAGAAUAAGUACCAGACUUUUAAAUAAGCUCUUCGAGUCGAAUUGUUCAACUAAAACCCUUCAAAUACUUGCCCCAGCAUGGCCGCAGUUCAAUGAAUGAAUCAAGUAAAAGAUAACAGAUGGAAACAACACACUUGGUAUGUAUGGUUGUUGUUGCUGUCGUUUCAUCUCAGGUCAAACUCUGUCCAGUAGAGCUUCAAUGAAAUGCAGUUGUAAAUGGUCCGACUGUUUUUCUCUUUUUUAUUUAUUAUUUUUGGGCUUUAUGAAUCUAAGAUUACAAUUACAUGUCCUUAAUGCGUGUAAGGGAGAUUUGGCUGCUGCUUCGAAAAGAUUGAGAGACCGCGUUGAUUUGAUACAUACGUGUAUUGAUAGCCUCUCGUUUAUACUGACCAAACAUUCAUUAGCUCAUGCUCUCCACCAAAUCCACGUGGCCUGAACUGGUGCACGGUGCACCACACGUCAGGUGUCGACUUAAUCGCAGAGAAACGUGACAUGAAAUGUUGUGUUUAAGAACAUACAGCACCACCCUGUCUAGGAAUUGAAAUCACUAUCACGAGAUCGUGGCUGUUAGUUCAAUACUCUAACCACUAGGUGAUGCACCCUUCACAGACAUACGUGUAAUGUGAAGAUUAUUUAACAUUUUUAGACUGAAAAUGAUAAGAAAGUGAAACAACGGCAAAAAGAAAAUUAAAUUCUUGUGAAUGACGUCAUUUAUAUAAAGAAAACUGCAGGUUCUGAAAUAAAAGACUUCAUGAUUCGAAAA